GGUAGGGUGGCUGAAAAAGCAUUAGACUGUAAAUCUAAUUAUAAAGGUACGUAUUCCUUUCUCUAUCA
rnacentral:tRNA from 1 species